CUUGACAUCGUAUUGACAAGUGCAGAAAUGUACCUCCUUCGGGCAGUAUGACAGGUGGUGCAUGGCUGUUGUCAGCUCGUGUCGUGAGAUGUUGGGUUAAGUCCCGCAACGAGCGCAACCCUCGUCCCCAUGUUGCCAUCACUUAGGGUGGGCACUCUUGGGAGACUGCCGGUGUAAAACUGGAGGAAGGUGGGGGAUGACGUCAAGUCAUCCAUCGCCUUAUGCCUUGGGCUGCACACGUGCUACAAUGGUCGGUACAAAGAGGUGCGAUACCGUGAGGUGGAGCGAAUCCCAGAAAACCUGUCUCAGUCCGGAUUGAAGUCUGCAACUCGACUUCAUGAAGGCGGAAUCGCUAGUAACCGCGAAUCAGCAGGUCGCGGUGAAUACGUUCCCGGGCCUU
rnacentral:rRNA from 1 species